UGUCUGCUCUGAUGUCCCAAGGCCAAAAGCAGCCUCCUGUGUCACUCAUGAUUUCACGCUUUCAGAGUCUUUAUCUCUCCUGCUGUGUUCCCCCCAAACCCAGUUCUCCUUUCACUCCUAAGGAUUUGUAGCGAACUUCAAGAGAUGAGCAGGAAAAUCCAGACAGUUUUAGAAAUUGUGCCUGUCAGUAAUGGGGGAUGGUUUUGAACUCUUCAAGUUUUUUUAAUACAGGAGAACUCACCGGCCACCACAAAGCAUUGUCAAAUAUUUGCCAUCCAUGUCAAGACUUUGUCAGAUGAUGGUUACUAUGGCACUGAGUACAAGGCCAGUGAUGCCAUAUGAAGCAGCACCGUAACACUGGGGAGAACAAAUGUUUGAAGACUGGACUACAACUCUACAGCAGAGUGACAGCUCAAGCACUUCUAAAGCAACGGUGCAAACAUGCAAACACAAGGGGCCAGGGAGCAGUUUGAUGAAAUGGCCUUUUCCUAAUGGUUCUCAAAAGGGCAUAUUUAAAAAAAAUCUGCAAAUAAAUUAGCAAUUAGGUUCCCUAUCG